rnacentral:lncRNA from 1 species
CUCCUCCUCCCAUGUAUGCUGCUAAUUUUGCUGGUACUAUGUUGACUGAGAGUCUUGUUUCUGAUUCCAAAUUAUGCAUGCUUACACACAUUAAUUCUAUCACCUGGAUCAUAGAUUCAGGGGCAUCUAAUCAUAUGACACAUGAUAAAAACUUACUCUUUUAACAUCAUACCUUUGACUGUUCCUUAUCUUGUAACUUU